CCAACACUCUCUGGUCAACAUCUGUUUCCCCGCCUGUAUAGCUAUUGUUCUUUGUAAGAAACGUGGACGGGUAGGUAUGACUGUCCGCUGAAGAUUGGCAGCUAUGGCCUAUGAAACUCCAGCACCAUGCCUCUCUUCUUCUCUUUUUUCAAGAUUCAAGAAUCCAUUUCCGGCAUUUUCUUUUUCCAUCCCCACAAGACCAUGUCUCUCACACCUUUGAUGUUUAGGUCAUUGCUGAGGCUUCUAACAUCACUAAUUGGUGAUCCUGCGGCAUCAGUCUCAACCUUACUAUUCUACAGCGACCUUUUACCUCAGAAUGUCGUUUUGGAGAGAUUGGUUCAGCAUGAAUUACUACAUGAAGAAAAUUAUCUCUUCCAUUUUCUCAUAAACUUCAUGAGAUGUUUCUGGUAACUGUUUCGUGAAUACCACAAGCUGAGAUUUGACUCAUCUCUUUUUCUCCAUCUCCACAUGGAUUUUUAUCAAAAUGAAACAUAGUUGGUUCUCAAUUUUCUUUUUCCUUUUUCUUUAAUUGUUGAAUAGUGGAUCCGCAGAUUUUUUCGUGCAAUUGUAAACUUAGUCAUUUGGUGAGUCUAUUAAUUUCGGACUUAAUUUUACACUGAAUAAUGUUUUGUUUCCGUACUUCCAUGUCAAUAAGAACUUCUGUUCGAGUUAGUGAAUGUUUAUAAUCUUGGUGUUCUCUAUUA